GAAAGUAUAUAAGGGCGUAUGGGGAAUGCCUAGGCUCUUGGAGGCGAAGAAAGACGUGGUAAGCUGCGAAAAGCUCCGGGGAUUUGCAAACAAGAUUUGAUCCGGAGAUCUCUGAAUGGGACAACCCGGCAGGUAGAAGACCUGUCAUCCGGCGACGGAAGCCAACCCUCUGAACUGAAACAUCUUAGUAGGAGGAGGAAAAGAAAGAAACAUCGAUUUCCUAAGUAGCGGCGAGCGAACGGGAAGCAGCCCAAACCGGAUUUGUUACGGCAAAUUCGGGGUUGUAGGACUGCGAUAUUCAAACGACAAUGAACUGGAACGAUCUGGAAAGUUCGUCCAUAGAGGGUGAAAGGCCCGUACAGGUAAGUUAGUCGAGCGAUAGCAGUAUCCUGAGUAUGGCGGGACACGAGGAAUCCUGUCAGAAACAGCCGGGACCACCCGGUAAGGCUAAAUACUCCCAAGAGACCGAUAGUGGACCAGUACCGUGAGGGAAAGGUGAAAAGUACCCCGAACAGGGGAGUGAAAUAGAACCUGAAACCAUACGCUUACAACCGGUCGGAGCGGCUUCGUGCCGUGACGGCGUGCCUAUUGAAUAAUGAGCCUACGAGUUACUAAUCACUGGCGAGGUUAAGUGCUAGGAAGCACGGAGCCGAAGCGAAAGCGAGUCUGAACAGGGCGGCCAGUCAGUGGUUGUAGACGCGAAACCUUGCGAUCUACCCUUGAGCAGGAUGAAGGUCGGGUAACACCGACUGGAGGUCCGAACGAAUAAGCGUUGAAAAGCUUCUCGAUGACUUGAGGGUAGGGGUGAAAGGCUAAUCAAGCUGGGAAAUAGCUCGUACUCCCCGAAAUGCCUUUAGGGGCAGCGUUGUAAUAAAGAGUCUACUGGAGGUAGAGCUACUGAUUGGAUGCGGGGGCUUCACCGCCUACCAAAUCCUGACAAACUCCGAAUGCCAGUAGUAUGAUUUACAGCAGUGAGCGACCGGGUGCUAAUGUCCGGUUACGAGAGUGGAACAACACAGACCAGCAACUAAGGUCCCCAAGAAUAUGCUAAGUUGAACUAACGAUGUUUUGUUGCAGAGACAGCUAGGAUGUUAGCUUGGAAGCAGCUAUUCAUUCAAAGAGUGCGUAACAGCUCACUAGUCGAGCGACAGAGCGUGGAUAAUAAACGGGCAUCAAGCAUAUCACCGAAGUUCUGGACACGAGAGUGUGGUAGGGGAGCAUUCCAUUCGCGUCGAAGUCGCGCCGUGAGGCGUGGUGGAGCGUAUGGAAAAGCAAAUGUAGGCAUAAGUAACGAUAAUGCGGGAGAGUAACCCGCACACCGCAAGACCAAGGUUUCCUGAUCAACGCUAAUCGGAUCAGGGUUAGUCGGGUCCUAAGGGUAAGCCGAACGGUGAUCUCGAUGGACAAUCGGUUAAUAUUCCGAUACUGACAUAUACCUCGAUGGAGAGACGAAGGAACGUAAGUGUCGCCACCUGACGGAAUAGGUGGUUGAAGAGUGUAGGUAUAGGCGCAGAUUAAGAGUUAGCGCUUGCUGAGACUCGACAGUACGGAGCGGCUACGGCCAAUCCGAUAGUGCACCCAAGUAUACUUCCGAGAAAAUCUUCUAAGUUAUAGUAUAUGUCACCCGUACCGUAAACCGACACAGGUGGUCGAGGAGAGUAUCCUAAGGUGCUCGAGUGAAUCACGGUUAAGGAACUAGGCAAAUUAACCCCGUAACUUCGGGAAAAGGGGUCCCACCGCGAGGUGGGCGCAGCGAAGAGGUCCAGGCGACUGUUUAUCAAAAACACAGGGCUCUGCAAAUUCGAAAGAAGACGUAUAGGGCCUGACACCUGCCCGGUGCUGGAAGGUUAAGAGGGGAUGUCAUCGCAAGAGAAGCAUUGAAUCGAAGCCCCAGUAAACGGCGGCCGUAACUAUAACGGUCCUAAGGUAGCGAAAUUCCUUGUC
rnacentral:rRNA from 1 species